rnacentral:rRNA from 1 species
AUUGAACGCUGGCGGCAUGCUUUGCACAUGCAAGUCGAACGGCAGCGCGGGCUUCGGCCUGGCGGCGAGUGGCGAACGGGUGAGUAAUGCAUCGGAACUUGCCCUGUAGUGGGGGAUAGCCCGGCGAAAGCCGGAUUAAUACCGCAUCCGACCUGAGGUUGAAAGUGGGGGACCGAAAGGCCUCGCGCUAUUUGAGUGGCCGAUGUCGGAUUAGCUAGUUGGUGGGUAAAGGCUUACCAAGGCGAGGAUCCGUAGCUGGUCUGAGAGGGCGACCAGCCACACUGGCACUGAGACACGGCCCAGACUCCUACGGGAGGCAGCAGUGGGGAAUUUUGGGCAAUGGGGGAAACCCUGAUCCAGCAAUGCCGCGUGAGGGAAGAAGGCCUUAGGGUUGUAAACCGAUUUUGUUCGGGAAGAAAUCCUCUGGGCUAAUACCCCGGGAGGAUGACGGUACCGGAAGAAUAAGCACCGGCUAACUACGUG